UACUUCUGUGGCCUCAGUGGUUAGAGUGUCUGCCUUAAAUGCAGAAGACCAUGGGUGUGAACCAAAACUGAAUAA